rnacentral:lncRNA from 1 species
GCUCUGGUUCACUUGUCUCUUCUCAGCCAUAAAACCCCUGUGGAUGGAUGGCAGUCUCACAUUCCAGUAACCCAGUGAAACAAAACUCUAGAAACUUAUAAUUAAAGUCAAAUUUAUAUAUCAAUAAAUUCUCAAUUCACAAGAUGCCCAUAUAAUAAUUUCAGAGCCAAUUGAUAAUGAUAAAAGCUGCCCACCAAGAUAAGACAAGUUAUCCCAAUUAGUCUAUUCUUUAUGAUAUCAUAUCUACCUGUGGGUAUUUAAUGCUACAUGGAAUCUAAAUCUUCUUCCUCUCCCUCAACUUUUCUUUCUCUCACUCUUCUCUCUCUCUCUCUCUCUCUCUCUCUCUCUCUCUCUCUCCCCCCAACCACCCCCCCCGUUCCAUUCUCCAACUCUUAGCUCUACCUCCCUUUCCCUGUCCAAUCACAGGCCUCCUGCUGCGCUAAUAUUUAAGCUAAUUGGACAGGGGAAAUCCUGCCACAGGUACUACCUGUCUUAGAUACGGUUUUGUUGCUGUGAAGAGGCACUGUGACCAAGGCAACUCUGAUAAAGGUUAACAUUUAAUUGGGGCUUGCUUACAGUUUCAGAGGGUUAGUCCAUUAUCAUCAUGGUGGGAAGCAUGGCAGCAUCCAGGCAGACAUGGUGCUAGAGACUGAGAGUUCUACAUCUUGAUCUGCAGGCAGCAAGGAGGAGACUGUCUAGACAUAGCUUAAGUAUAGGAGACCUCAAAGCCCACCCCCACAGUAACACACUUCCUCCAAGACCACACCUACUUCAACAAGGCCACACCUCCUAAUAGUGCCACUCCCUGUGGGCCAAGCAUUCACACACAUGAAUCUGUGAAAGCCAUACCUAUUCAAACCAUCAUACUACCUAACUUCCUUUUUAACCUCUUGUAGGGCCUAGGGUCUUCCCUGCUAAGCAGGAAGGAUGCAGUCUAGGCCAAGGAGCUCUGGGGGUGCAGAUUAGCAUCUUGGAUGGCACCUAGGACUGAGCUUGGACAGGAUGUAUGAUGAAACCUCUGUAGAACUGUACCCGACUGUGAGCUAGGGCCCUAGAAUUAGCAUGGUCUUUACCCAGGAGGUCCUAGGACAACCUUAGUGGACAAACUAAGGGCUUAGCUCCCAGGUCAUAAACCUCAAGUUCCACAGCUGCUAUGGGACUUGUGAGAGAGCCACCAGUCUAUAGGACAGUCAGUACGGUCAGGAUGAGCACCAGAAACCAGAAGAAAACAGGUGUGGAUUAUGAAGACAAAAUACCAAAAAAAACUAUCAAAGUUUUAUGGGUGACUUUAUAUUGAUUACCCGUUGAAGUAAUAUUUUGUAUAUUCUGGAUGAGAUAACUGUAUCUCCUUGUUUCUCUACUUUUUGUUUAGACAGAGUCUUGCUGUGUGGUCUAGGCUGGCAUAUCCUUACUGCCUCAGUUCUCCAAAAGCUGAGAUUGUGGGCCUGUCCCACCAUGUCUGGCUGGUUUUGCUUUUUAAAUAUUACAAUUAAAUUUUAUUUUAUUUUUUCACAUUUGUUUCUGUGGAGCAUAGCUGGUCUUAGGUUUGAAAGGCAUCAGAGAGGCCUUUGGUUGGUUUUUCAUAGUGGGAAGCAGGUCGUAGACACUUGCUUUCAUCUCUAGAUCCACCCUGAUCUGACUGUGGCCAGUAGCCAGGAUCUCCUUGCAGCCCUGUGGUCAGGGGUAAGACUGUUGUAGUGGCUCCCUUUUCCUGGGAGAACAGCCCUUCCCUAUGAUCCUGCUCUCUUCAAACCACCCCCCAGGGGAAUGGGCCACCAUUUGGGCCCUUAAGAUAAAGUUUAUUGUCACGGUGAAAUACAGGUGGUAGUGGGAGAGGUGGAUGAAGGAAGGGAGAGAGAGAGAGAGAGAGAGAGAGAGAGAGAGAGAAAGGAGGAAGACGUGGUCCUCACUGAACAUACUCAUGGACUCUGGGGCUGUGAAAAAUCCACGGGAUCCUGAAGUUGCAUUUGCCCUAAGCACCCUUUCCUGCAGCCAAAGCAGGUGACACCAAUAGAUCCCUUCUCCCCAACCCCCAAUGCAACUCUAACCUAGGUAAUAAGUUUUCCUCCCCUUCUGUUCUACACUGGGUAAGGUUGACCCAGUGACUCUCAAAAACCCUUGGCAGGGGCUGGGGGUGAGGAGGGCAGGCCCUCUUUUCUGGUGGAGUCUGGUGCUUGUGGAGGAGAACCACCCUUUGCAGAAUGUCACGUGGAAAUGCAGGUUCCUCAGAAAUGAGAGCCUUACGUACAGAACCUCCUUACUGUGGGAGUCUACCAGGUCCUUUGCUGUUGCUUUUGGGAUGCUUUGAGACACUCCUGAAGUGUCAUCUGGCUGUGAUGGUUAGCUUUGGGUAGCAAUUAGACUACUGAAGCUAGACUCUUCCUGCAGGUUUGAACAUCAGAACUGCAGGCUCAGUGGUCGUGAGACUCUAGGACUUACACCAUGACCUCUGGUUUUUAGCCUGAGAGCAUCAGAAUAAAUUACACCAUUGACUUCCAUGGUUUGGGCCUUCCAGCUUGGACUAAGCCAUACCGUCAGUGUCCUAGGGCCUUCAGAUGGCCCCGUCAUGAGACUAAGCAGGCACCACACCAUUCUUCUCCGUGACUUUCCUCACCCUUACAGUGACAUCCUUGCCAUGACGGUGGUAAUUAACAUGACCUCUAUCAUCUCUUCCUUGUGUUUGAGGAAACCCAGUAGAGGUGAUCACUCAAACAGUUUAUAGCCAAUUGAAAAUCUUUAUUGGGAUUACCUUCAGGUAGUCAGGACCCAAGUCUAGUGCCAAGUGUUUAGGGUAAGGGGUUUUUAAAGGGGAAAACCACAUCCUGGUAUCCUGCUUAGCAAGCAAGCAGUUCAACAGAAGCUAAGUUAGCUGGUGCAUCUCAACCCUGGGUCCUAGAAUAGAGUUGGGUAAUAUUCCAUGGGGUUCCUCCAUCAAGGAGAUCAGAUUCAUGUUAAACCAAAAAUGGCCUCAGCAAGAAAACAAGAUGGAGGAACCUCUUCAUGGUCUUGCCCUGGCACAUUUGCCCAUAGCACCUUACCUCUCACCUGCUAUCCUGUUACCAUAACCUGUACCAGUACUGCCUCUGUUCUCGUACCCAUUACCAUCCCUCAACUCCCCUUACCUCUGUGGUCACCAUUUCUACUGCUCACAUCACCACCAUCACCAAAAACUUCACCUCUACUUCCACCCAGGCCAUCUUCUCAGCCACACACUUCUCAGCUUACGAUGGGCCUAUGCCAUGACAAGCCUUAUAAACUGAAAAGUCCUAACGUGAAAAGGCAUCUACAUUUAAUGUAUGGACCAUCACACUUUAGGGAUGCAGUAGAAGAGGAUGUGCUGUGGCCUAUGGGUAGCCUGAGAAGAAACGAAAAUGUAAAAUGCAGCCAGGUCUGUUGGUGAAGACACAUAAUCUCACCUACUUGGGCAACUGAGGCAAAAAGAUUUUAAGUUUAAGGAGAGCCUGGGUGACCUAGAUAGACCCUGUCUUUAAAAAAUAAAAU